GAAGAAUGCUCCUUUAACUAGAAAUAGUUAUAGCAAAUCCCUUUAAUUCAUGGGAACCCUUAACAGAUAAUGCUGAAGGCAAUCAUGAGCCAAGCCUAGUAAAGUACUAGGAAGGUGCAACGACUAGUCAGAAUGACGUACAUCUAAGCAGAUGGAAAUAGGGGACACCUUCAAUAUUAAGGUGAAGAUAUAGUCUGAACUAUAUAGAAAUAUAUAG
rnacentral:ncRNA from 1 species